rnacentral:rRNA from 1 species
CCUACGGGAGGCAGCAGUGGGGGAUAUUGCACAAUGGGGGGAACCCUGAUGCAGCGACGCCGCGUGGGUGAAGGAGCGUUUCGGCGCGUAAAGCCCUAUCGGCAGGGAAGAAGGAGGACGGUACCUGACUAAGAAGCCCCGGCUAACUACGUGCCAGCAGCCGCGGGAAUACGUAGGGGGCAAGCGUUAUCCGGAUGUAGUGGGUUUAAAGGGUGCGUAGGGUGUGAGGUAAGUCAGCGGGGAAAUGCCCCCGCUCAACGGGGUGAAGUGCCAUUGAUACUGCCUUGCUGGAGUGCGGAUGAGGUGGGAGGAAUGUGUGGUGUAGGGGUGAAAUGCAUAGAUAUCACACAGAACACCGAUUGCGAAGGCAUCUCACGAAUCCGCGAUUGACGCUGAUGCACGAAAGCGUGGGUAUCAAACAGGAUUAGAUACCCGAGUAGUC